GAUGAACGCUGGCGGCGUGCCUAAUACAUGCAAGUCGAGCGAACAGACGAGGAGCUUGCUCCUCUGACGUUAGCGGCGGACGGGUGAGUAACACGUGGAUAACCUACCUAUAAGACUGGGAUAACUUCGGGAAACCGGAGCUAAUACCGGAUAAUAUAUUGAACCGCAUGGUUCAAUAGUGAAAGACGGUUUUGCUGUCACUUAUAGAUGGAUCCGCGCUGCAUUAGCUAGUUGGUAAGGUAACGGCUUACCAAGGCAACGAUGCGUAGCCGACCUGAGAGGGUGAUCGGCCACACUGGAACUGAGACACGGUCCAGACUCCUACGGGAGGCAGCAGUAGGGAAUGUUCCGCAAUGGGCGAAAGCCUGACAGAGCAACGCCGCGUGAGUGAUGAAGGUCUUCGGAUCGUAAAACUCUGUUAUUAGGGAAGAACAAAUGUGUAAGUAACUAUGCACGUCUUGACGGUACCUAAUCAGAAAGCAACGGCUAACUACGUG
rnacentral:rRNA from 1 species